rnacentral:misc_RNA from 1 species
AGUUGAGGCACAAAGCAUAAAGGAAAAGAUGAAUACAAACUAUUGGUAGGAAACAAUUGUAACAAUAAUUAACAAAAUGAUUAAAAGGAAAAAAGAUGAUUAUUAGUCUAGUAAAUCAACAUUAAUAGCUUUAAGAGCUUCAUUAGCCAUAAUCUUAUGCAUUUUCUCAGAAGGAUGAACAGCAUCCCAGAACACAAACUUUGUUCGAUCACCACAAGUUUUCAACCCCUUACAACUCUCUCCGUAUUCUACUGUUCCUGUCCCACAACACCCCUUACUUGUCUCUGUAAAACUGAAUUUUUGGGGAUUUUGGACAGCUUCCAGAAUGAUGCUAUAAAUAUCAAUGUAGGCAACUUUAAUUCCAAAUAAUCUUUUAAGUGCUUGCAAUUCUCUUUUGAUUUUGAGAUUGAAAGUAAAAGCAACUUUGUUUAAAUCAUCAUCGCAUUUGGUUUCAUCAUCUCGAAUGGUUCUAAUAAGUGGUUCACACCCAAGAGGAGGAACUCCGACCACUGCCAAUCUUCUGGCUCCUCGACUAUGAAUUAUCUUGACGUGAGUAAACAGGGAACGGAUCAAGAAGUUCUGAUACUGUUCCACUGUGUAUUGCAUGGAACGUAUAACUUCCAGAAAGUAAUUUUGUAGGAAGUCAUUAGUGCCCAUGCUUAAUAUAUAUAGUGCAUUUUUCAUAGUUUCUCUUGCUUUAUCAACUCCCACCAUUUUACUCAAGUGGAUUUCAUAGUGCCUCAGAUACUCUCUUUGCUUCGCUAGUGUCAUUGCAUUCGAGAAAUUGGCGGUGAGAUCAUCAUAACCAGAGCCAGCUGAAGCAAAACUAAUACCGUGUAGCAUAUCCACCUUGUUUAUUUGUGGGUCUAGAAACGCUCUGGUCAUAUUUACGUAACCAAGUGCCUCCACAAUAAAAUCUGUGGCAAGUUUUCCAUUAGAGAACCUGCCAGUAGGUUGAGAGUUAAGGUCCAUCCCAUAAGGCAAGUAAUUAGCCUUGUUUAUUGUAGAAAGAUGGUUGUUGUUUCCAGGAUCUACACUUGAAUCUCCAAACACCAACAAACAUGUUACAUUGUUUUUGGCUGCCAAUUUCCUCAACACAGCCACUUCAAUGCCUUGUACUACACCAUUAUGAUCAUGUAACGCCACCAG